rnacentral:tRNA from 1 species
GCCCAGGUGGUGGAAUUGGUAGACACGCUACUUUGAGGGGGUAGUGCCUAAUUACAGGCGUGCAAGUUCGACUCUUGUUCUGGGCACCA